GACAUACUUCCUCCGUCCAACAAAGGAUGUCUCACCUUUGACUAAAUUUGAAUGCAUCUAUACACUAAGUCAUGUCUAGAUACAUCCAAAUUUUGACAAACUUGAGACAUCUUUUGUUGGACGGAGGGAGUAUGAU
rfam:Brachypodium distachyon strain Bd21 chromosome 2, whole genome shotgun sequence.